rnacentral:rRNA from 1 species
GAUGAACGCUGGCGGCGUGCUUAACACAUGCAAGUCGAACGGAAAGGCCCAAGCUUGCUUGGGUACUCGAGUGGCGAACGGGUGAGUAACACGUGGGUGAUCUGCCCUGCACUUCGGGAUAAGCCUGGGAAACUGGGUCUAAUACCGGAUAGGACCACUUCUUGGAUGUUGUGGGGGAAAGUUUUUUGGGGGUGGGGUGAGCUCGCGGCCUAUCAGCUUGUUGGUGGGGUAAUGGCCUAACAAGGCGUCGACGGGUAGCCGGGCCGAGAGGGGGUACGGGCACAUUGGGACUGAGAUACGGCCCAGACUCCUACGGGAGGCAGCAGGGGGGAAUAUUGCACAAUGGGCGCAAGCCUGAUGCAGCGACGCCGCGUGGGGGAUGACGGCCUUCGGGUUGUAAACUCCUUUCGCUAGGGACGAAGCGUUUUGUGACGGUACCUGGAGAAGAAGCACCGGCUAACUACGUG